UACAGAGGUCUCAAGCGUUGUUCGGAUUCAUUGGGCGUAAAGGGUGCGUAGGCGGCGCGGUAAGUCGGGUGUGAAAUCUCGGAGCUUAACUCCGAAACUGCAUUCGAUACUGCCGUGCUUGAGGACUGGAGAGGAGACUGGAAUUUACGGUGUAGCGGUGAAAUGCGUAGAUAUCGUAAGGAAGGCCAGUGGCGAAGGCGAGUUCCUGGACAGUAACUGACGCUGAGGCACGAAGGCCAGGGGAGCAAACGGG
rnacentral:rRNA from 1 species